AAAGAUCUGAUAAUUGCUGCAAUGGUAUGUCCAAUGGAUUUGACUUUCUGUACCCUCUCAUAUCUAAUCGUGGUGACUAUGAUUUAAUUUUGGAUGGCAUCCAUGAAAAUAUUUUCUAGCUUCAUUAUCAUGACCCAAUAAUGCAGAAGACAGUCAAGUGCUUAAACACUCUUGGCAUUUCUGAUCUAGUGCACCAAUAUGUUAUGCGUACACAGCAGAUGUCCCUUAAUGUUUAUCAGCCUCUUACUGCAAUUAGGUUACAUCGUUUAAUAGCCCAAGUUCAAAAACCAAUUAUUGAAUGGCCGAAGUCUUUUAUGAGGUAUGUCCAAGACUAGAACCUGAUGUCAUUCAUGGAAGGAUUAUUA